rnacentral:rRNA from 1 species
UACGAAGGGGGCAAGCGUUGUUCGGAAUUACUGGGCGUAAAGGGCGCGUAGGCGGCUUUUCAAGUGACGGGUGAAAUCCCUCGGCUUAACCGAGGAACUGCCUGUCAGACUGGAAGGCUUGAGCACCGGGAGAGGUGAGUGGAAUUCCCAGUGUAGCGGUGAAAUGCGUAGAUAUUGGGAGGAACACCAGUGGCGAAGGCGGCUCACUGGACCGGUACGUGACGCUGAGGCGCGAA